rnacentral:rRNA from 1 species
GACGAACGCUGGCGGCGUGCUUAACACAUGCAAGUCGAACGGAAAGGCCCUGCUUUUGUGGGGUGCUCGAGUGGCGAACGGGUGAGUAACACGUGAGUAACCUGCCCUUGACUUUGGGAUAACUUCAGGAAACUGGGGCUAAUACCGGAUAGGAGCUCCUGCUGCAUGGUGGGGGUUGGAACGUUUCGGCGGUUGGGGAUGGACUCGCGGCUUAUCAGCUUGUUGGUGGGGUAGUGGCUUACCAAGGCUUUGACGGGUAGCCGGCCUGAGAGGGUGACCGGCCACAUGGCGACUGAGAGACGGCCCAGACUCCUACGGGAGGCAGCAGUGGGGAAUAUUGCACAAUGGGCGGAAGCCGGAUGCAGCAACGCCGCGUGCGGGAUGACGGCCUUCGGGUUGUAAACCGCUUUCGCCUGUGACGAAGCGGGAGUGACGGUAAUGGGUAAAGAAGCACCGGCUAACUACGUG